UGUAUAUAUAUAUAUAUAUAUAUGUGUGUGUGUCUUAUUCUAAAGAUACAUUUCAAAAGGAAAUUAGUUUAAGACUAAUAAUAUUACUCCAAAGGAUUACAUUUUUAUUCUUAAUUAUAAGCAUGAAUAAAUAAGAAA